UACGGAGGGGGCUAGCGUUGUUCGGAAUUACUGGGCGUAAAGCGCACGUAGGCGGCUUUGUAAGUCAGAGGUGAAAUCCCAGUGCUCAACACUGGAACUGCCUUUGAGACUGCAUCGCUUGAAUCCAGGAGAGGUGAGUGGAAUUCCGAGUGUAGAGGUGAAAUUCGUAGAUAUUCGGAAGAACACCAGUGGCGAAGGCGGCUCACUGGCCCGAUACUGACGCUGAGGCACGAAAGCGUGGGGAGCAAACAGG
rnacentral:rRNA from 1 species